rnacentral:lncRNA from 15 species
AUGCUCCUUAACGCCACCGUCCCUCUGUCGGUGGAUUUCGACACACCGGAGGACUUCCUCAUCUUCAUAUUCCAUAUCCUGUUCGCCACGAGUGCCGUGCUCGUCGCCGGCUCCGUGGUCAUCGGGAUAUCCUCAACCCGGUCCCUGCGAGGCCAGAACCGUUUUAUAUUCAUGCUGAACACCAGCAUCAGUGACACUCUGACCGGCUUAUCGGUCUACUACCUCGGCCUCUUCGACGUCCAAGAGGGCUAUCCCUCAAGGAACGGGACUUACUAUAUCUUACCCUCAUUUCUAGGAGUCAACGUGUUGACCUUCCUCUUCGCUCAGUUUGACCGGUACUUCGCUGUGUGCCACCCUUUCUUUUACCACCGCUACAUAACGAGGGCGUUUGUCAUUGGGCUUUGCGCGUUUUGCUGGAUUUACACCUACACCAUCCUCACGGUGCAGAACAUGGUGCCCAUUUCAAAGGCGGCUCAAAUAAACGCGUUUGGUGUAAUUGCUCUGCAGAUUAUUGUUCUCAUUAAAGUGUUGAUGACAAUUAAAUUAUACAUCAUAGCCAGGAAUCAGCUGGUGAGAGAGGCGCCCAGCGCCGAGAGAGACAACAAGAAGGAGUCGUUACGCAUCAUUGUGUUUGUGGUUAUUUGCUUCUUGGCUCUGUGGUGUCCAUCCUUUGUCAAUAUAAUAGUCAGACAGUUGACUAGCAAAGGUAUGAGGUUUAGGAAUGAAGCCACUAACCUGUUUGCUAUCAUGGCACGCCUGAACGCGCUGGUCACGCCGGCUCUGUACAUCUGGGGUAGUCCGGCGCUGCGUGGGGCCGUGUGGAGAACAGUGUGGAGGAGGGUCUGCCCCUGGCGGAUGGUAAGAAUUGGCUUAAACGUUGAUGGACUGACAAACAAAAUAGCCUUAUGAAAUUACCAGCAUCAAUAUCAUAAGGAGAAUUAGAUAAAUAGCCAGAUCAAGUGGCUGCCGUGAGGAUUGCAAGUGUUUCAGUCGCUUUUGAAUGCAUGUGAGUUCUCAAUCCUCCUGUUUUAAAUGUUUGAAAAAAGAAACAAAACACACCUGAUAGAUUGGGCUGCUGAGCUUUUUUUGUGUGGAAAUUCAGGUGUGAUGUCAAAGGUGAAAUAUGGACUGUAUUUGAGAUUAGGUAUGCCAUUACUGUAUCUGCCAUUGCCACAUAUUUCGAGGGUCCUCCAUUAGUUUGGGGCUAAGCCCACUGAUUCUGACAUUUCAUUUGGAAACAAGGUACCUGUCAUGACGCUUUUAACAGAAUAAAAAUGUUAAUUUUGGAUAGUCUUUGGAUCUUUUGAUUAUAUUGAAACUUGUAACUGGGUUGUGUUCUUUUGUUGUGCUGUCAAACGAUUAAAAUAGGCUAUUUAAUCACAAGUAAUCGCAUUAAUGUCAUAGUUAACUCGCAAUUAAUCGCACAUUUUUAUCUAUUGUAAAUGUCCCUUGAUUUCUUUUUGUCCCAUUAUUUUCUCUUAUUCUAAUGCUCUUAUCAACAUA